CUAACACAUGCAAGUCGAGCGGAUGAAGGGAGCUUGCUCCUGGAUUCAGCGGCGGACGGGUGAGUAAUGCCUAGGAAUCUGCCUGGUAGUGGGGGAUAACGUCCGGAAACGGGCGCUAAUACCGCAUACGUCCUGAGGGAGAAAGUGGGGGAUCUUCGGACCUCACGCUAUCAGAUGAGCCUAGGUCGGAUUAGCUAGUUGGUGGGGUAAAGGCCUACC
rnacentral:rRNA from 1 species